rnacentral:lncRNA from 1 species
ACAUAUAUAUGUAUACAAUGCGAUAUUAAUUGUCUAUUUCCAUGUAUGUAUCGUCUAUGCAUGUUUAUCUUUAACAACUCAACCCGCAUGUUACCACUCCUCACCAACUACUUAAACAAGAUCGAAAUGGGACAAAACGAAGAACUCAACUUACUAGAAUGAAUCUAAAUUUUUUUUUUUGGGGUCGAAUUAGAAUGAAUCUAACUUAUGAUUUAUUUUACAAUAUGGAAUAUGAUCGAAAGUUGACUUGUCAUAAUUAACUAAUUCAUCUUAUGAAAUUAUUGAAGAAAUUUAUAUAUAUAUAUAUAUAUAUAUAGGCAGCCCUUUUUCAAAAAAUAUAUUUAUAAAUAGGCUUACUCAGAUAUACUAAUGGCAAUACCUUAGUCAUGUACUGAAAACUCGAACAUAUUUGCAUUUGCAAGGUAUUGUUGUUGUUUCUUCUUUUAUUAAAGGUGGAAUUGAAGUUCCAGACUUUAGAUCUAGAUUUCUUUAAAUGUGGAAUCCGUCCUUACAUGUUUUGAUUUAAAUAAUAAUUCUAUAUACCAGUGAUAUUCCUUUUUUACUUUGAAAUUAUAUGAAAACCAUGUCUAUACCUUUGAGUGACACUACUUCUUUGAAGCUAUUCAUGAAUCGAUCUUUUCUUUUAUA